rnacentral:rRNA from 1 species
UACAGAGGCCUCGAGCGUUGCGCGGAAUCACUGGGCUUAAAGGGUGCGUAGGCGGACAUGUAAGUGCCUUGUGAAAUCCCCGGGCUCAACCCGGGAACUGCUUGGUAGACUGCAUGUCUUGAGGUCGGUAGGGGUCGCUGGAACAGUUGGUGGAGCGGUGAAAUGCGUAGAUAUCAACUGGAACGCCAAAGGCGAAGGCAAGCGACUGGGCCGAUUCUGACGCUGAGGCACGAAAGCGUGGGGAGCAAACGGG